UCGAGCUGCACCUUCGGGUGUAGCGGCGGACGUGUUAGUAACGCGUGGGAACGUGCCCUUCUCUACGGAAUAGCCUCGGGAAACUGAGAGUAAUACCGUAUACGCCCUUUGGGGGAAAGAUUUAUCGGAGAAGGAUCGGCCCGCGUCUGAUUAGAUAGUUGGUGGGGUAAUGGCCUACCAAGUCUACGAUCAGUAGCUGGUUUUAGAGGAUGAUCAGCAACACUGGGACUGAGACACGGCCCAGACUCCUACGGGAGGCAGCAGUGGGGAAUCUUAGACAAUGGGCGCAAGCCUGAUCUAGCCAUGCCGCGUGAGUGAUGAAGGCCUUAGGGUCGUAAAGCUCUUUCGCCAGAGAUGAUAAUGACAGUAUCUGGUAAAGAAACCCCGGCUAACUCCGUGCCAGCAGCCGCGGUAAUACGGAGGGGGUUAGCGUUGUUCGGAAUUACUGGGCGUAAAGCGCACGUAGGCGGAUCAGAAAGUUGGGGGUGAAAUCCCAGGGCUCAACCCUGGAACGGCCUCCAAAACUCCUGGUCUUGAGUUCGAGAGAGGUGAGUGGAAUUCCGAGUGUAGAGGUGAAAUUCGUAGAUAUUCGGAGGAACACCAGUGGCGAAGGCGGCUCACUGGCUCGAUACUGACGCUGAGGUGCGAAAGUGUGGGGAGCAAACAGGAUUAGAUACCCUGGUAGUCCACACCGUAAACGAUGAAUGCCAGUCGUCGGGUAGUAUACUGCUCGGUGACACACCUAACGGAUUAAGCAUU
rnacentral:rRNA from 1 species